CAAAAGGUACUUCGGUAACUCGCAGCCCGGCCAUAACGAAGGCGGGGUGGCUGAAAUGCCAAUGG
ncrna:unclassified sequences pemK RNA